CAGAGUUUUGCUGAGGUGAAUGCUGGAAAAAUUUAAUAAACUGCUAUGGUUCAUCAUCUUUGUGAAACAUAAUGUGAAAGUCGUACUGAGUGGUAAACUGUAUUUUGGGGUAUGUUACAUUCAGAAUGUCAAAGAACUGCAAAAGAGAAUCAAGCAAGCCAUUCCAAAUGCCAAAAAUAUGUUUGAUAUACUGUCACCAUGUUUUGCCAUGGGAUAAAGAGUGCAUUGGAGUAUACAUGUUGGGUCUCAAAAUGGUUGAUAUUAAUGUUAACAUAUGAUAGGGCCAUAUUCGACUCCAUCACAAUACCUUUGAGUUGGCGUUAUAUGGUGUCCUCAAAAAGGAAGUAACUCCUAUUAAAGAUCAAGUCAAGCAAUUGUAGAAAUAAGUCAAUGACAUCAGUCUCAAUAUCUGAGUGGGGUAGAAUUAGUUGUAUUGCCGCAAUCCCACCAUCAUGGGGAAUAGAGGUGCACAAACUAGACACAUCACAGGAAGUAAGAGAGUGAGGUACAGACAUAAGUUUUCUAAGUACAUCUCCACUCUCAAGGACAAAAAUUGAUAAUGGUGGUACAGAGUUGGUCCUGCUACAAUCAGGCGUUCAGGUCAAUUAUGCAUCCUUUUGUGAAUUUUUGGCAGGAUUUGUAGGGUAUGCAAUACUGGCAUCACUGGAUUAGAUUUAAUAAAAAAAAUCUCGAGAUCAUCAUACAAACAUUGCGAAUAUGCCCCGACAAUCAAUUUUUCAAUGUCAUGUACAAGGUUAGAUAGUGGAUAUAUUUCACAUUUUUCUUAGGUGUCAUUAUUACUGAAAUGUCUAUUUACUUCCUUGAUGUAGCUUUAAUAAUAGCUGUAAUUAAGGUGGACAAAAUGGGCUUUUAUUCCAUAGUUCAAAGUCUUUGGCAUUGAAUUUAGCUGUAGUAGAGUGAGGAUCAUUAUCACCAGGGGUAUUCAUAGAAGUUUGCUAAGAAAAUAAUAAUUUCAAGCUCAAGGAUCUAAAAAAAAUCUCUCAAGAUCAAUAGUAGUUCAAAUGGUUCAGGUUUGUGUGUAGGGCAAAAUGAUAUAACUUAUUGUAUAUA